GCAGGAAGUAGCUCAGUCACUACAGCAUGAGACUCUUAAUCUCAGGGUUGUGGGUUAAAGCCCCUUGUUGAGCA